GCUCAACCGGGGAGGGUCAUUGGAAACUGGGGAACUUGAGUGCAGAAGAGGAGAGUGGAAUUCCACGUGUAGCGGUGAAAUGCGUAGAGAUGUGGAGGAACACCAGUGGCGAAGGCGACUCUCUGGUCUGUAACUGACGCUGAGGCGCGAAAGCGUGGGGAGCGAACAGGAUUAGAUACCCUGGUAGUCCACGCCGUAAACGAUGAGUGCUAAGUGUUAGAGGGUUUCCGCCCUUUAGUGCUGCAGCAAACGCAUUAAGCACUCCGCCUGGGGAGUACGGUCGCAAGACUGAAACUCAAAGGAAUUGACGGGGCCCCGCACAAGCGGUGGAGCAUGUGGUUUAAUUCGAAGCAACGCGAAGAACCUUACCAGGUCUUGACAUCCUCUGACAACCCUAGAGAUAGGGCUUCCCCUUCGGGGGCAGAGUGACAGGUGGUGCAUGGUUGUCGUCAGCUCGUGUCGUGAGAUGUUGGGUUAAGUCCCGCAACGAGCGCAACCCUUGAUCUUAGUUGCCAGCACUCAGUUGGGCACUCUAAGGUGACUGCCGGUGACAAACCGGAGGAAGGUGGGGAUGACGUCAAAUCAUCAUGCCCCUUAUGACCUGGGCUACACACGUGCUACAAUGGGCAGAACAAAG
rnacentral:rRNA from 1 species